rnacentral:rRNA from 1 species
UACGAAGGGGGCUAGCGUUGUUCGGAAUUACUGGGCGUAAAGGGCGCGUAGGCGGUGUGUCAAGUCAGGCGUGAAAGCCCCGGGCUCAACCUGGGAACCGCGCUUGAGACUGGCACGCUAGAGUUCGGGAGAGGAUGGUGGAAUUCCCAGUGUAGAGGUGAAAUUCGUAGAUAUUGGGAAGAACACCAGUGGCGAAGGCGAUUCUCUGGACUGUAACUGACGCUGAGGCUCGAAAGCGUGGGGAGCAAACAGG